rnacentral:lncRNA from 1 species
CUCCAGCCCUCUGACCAUCUUAGUGGCCCUCCUCUGGACCCACUCCAAAAACUUCCCGUCUUGCGGAGAAGAGAGAAUAAAGGUAAGGCAGACGCUGAGAAGGACAAGAGCAAAAGCAGAGAAGAACAGGCACAGGUAAGAAAGAAGAGCAGAAGAGGAGGAGAAGAAAAAAUGAGGAUGAAGGUAAGAAAAACAAGCGGGCAGGGAGAAGAGCUGAAGAAGGGAUGAGUGGGUGCAGGUAAGACCGAACAGCAGAAGUGGAGAGGAGCUGAAGAGGAGAAGUAUGAAAAGUAGAGCAAAAGUACAGGAGGUGGAAAGAGAGGAAAGAGGCAAGAGAGAAGAGAGGAAGAGCAGAGAAAGAACAGAGCAGUAGAGAAGAGCGGACAGUGCUGUGAAAAGAAGAACAGUGCCACAGAGCAGGUGAAGAAUAAAGGAAGAACAGAAGAGGAGUGUAGAUGAAGAAGAGGUGUGAGGGCACAAGGAAGAAAGAUCAGAAGAG